CGUGGGUAACCUGCCCAAGAGAUCGGGAUAACACCUGGAAACAGAUGCUAAUACCGGAUAAAAACAGAUGGUGCCUAUCAACUGUUUAAAAGAUGGUUCUGCUAUCACUCUUGGAUGGACCUGCGGUGCAUUAGCUAGUUGGUAGGGUAACGGCCUACCAAGGCGAUGAUGCAUAGCCGAGUUGAGAGACUGAUCGGCCACAUUGGGACUGAGACACGGCCCAAACUCCUACGGGAGGCAGCAGCA
rnacentral:rRNA from 1 species